AAGCUCGUAGUUGAAUUUCGCGGUCUGGCUGGGUGGUCUUGCCGCAAGGUAAGCACUGCUCUGGUUGGGUCUUUCCUUCUGGGGAACCAGCGUGCUCUUAAUUGAGUGCACUGGGGAUCCAGGACUUUUACUUUGAAAAAAUUAGAGUGUUUAGAGCAGGCUUACGCUUGAAUACAUUAGCAUGGAAUAAUAGAAUAGGACUUUGGUUCUAUUUUGUUGGUUUCUAGGACCGAAGUAAUGAUUAAUAGGGAUAGUUGGGGGCAUUAGUAUUUAAUUGUCAGAGGUGAAAUUCUUGGAUUUAUGAAAGACUAACUUCUGCGAAAGCAUUUGCCAAGGAUGUUUUCAUUAAUCAAGAACGAAAGUUAGGGGAUCGAAGACGAUCAGAUACCGUCGUAGUCUUAACCAUAAACUAUGCCGACUAGGGAUCGGACGAUGUUAUUUUUUGACUCGUUCGGCACCUUAUGAGAAAUCAAAGUUUUU
rnacentral:rRNA from 1 species